CCGGACUGACUGCUAUCGGAUUGGUACUAAGCCAUGCGAGUCAUUGUAGCAAUACAAGGCGGACGGCUCAGUAACACGUAGUCAACCUAACUCGUGGACGUGGAUAACCUCGGGAAACUGAGAAUAAACCACGAUAGAUCAUAGUGCCUGGAAUGGCUUAUGGUCCAAACAGUUUACUGCCAUGGGAUGGGACUGCGGCCUAUCAGCUUGUUGGCGAGGUAAUGGCCCACCAAGGCGAUUACAGGUACGGGCUCUGAGAGGAGAAGCCCGGAGAUGGGUACUGAGACACGGACCCAGGCCCUAUGGGGCGCAGCAGGCGAGAAACCUUAGCAAUGUGCGAAAGCACGACUGGGUCAGUCCGAGUGAUUCCUGAUAAAGGAGUCUUUUGCCUGUCCUAAAAGCACAGGUGAAUAAGGGGUGGGCAAGUCUGGUGUCAGCCGCCGCGGUAAUACCAGCACCUCGAGUGGUCAGGACGUUUAUUGGGCCUAAAGCAUCCGUAGCCGGCUCUGCAAGUCUUCGGUUAAAUCCACCUGCUCAACAGAUGGGCCGCUGGAGAUACUACAGAGCUAGGGAGUGGGAGAGGCAGACGGUAUUCAGUGGGUAGGGGUAAAAUCCUCUGAUCCAUUGAGGACCACCAGUGGCGAAGGCGGUCUGCCAGAACACGUUCGACGGUGAGGGAUGAAAGCUGGGGGAGCAAACCGGAUUAGAUACCCGGGUAGUCCCAGCUGUAAACGAUGCAAACUCGGUGAUGCAUUGGCUUAUGGCCAAUGCAGUGCCGCAGGGAAGCCGUUAAGUUUGCCGCCUGGGAAGUACGGACGCAAGUCUGAAACUUAAAGGAAUUGGCGGGGGAGCACCACAAGGGGUGAAGCCUGCGGUUCAAUUGGAUUCAACGCCGG
rnacentral:rRNA from 1 species